GUUGUGUGGGGCACCUCCCAUGUUUUAUUGUUGUCAGUUGUGUACGUUAAAAUGAGCGAAAGGGGAUAAAAGACUCAAACAAUGGACACCCCACAACCCCAUGGGUUCGUGGAAGAAAUAAAGUUCCACGAGCUUCAGUGUCAUGAGGUAGUUGGAAAGGGUGCUUUUGGGGUUGUGAGUAGAGCAAAGUGGCGAGGAAAAGAGGUUGCUGUGAAAUUAAUUGAAACAGAAUCUGAGAGGAAGGCUUUUACUACAGAGCUGAAACAGCUGUCACGAGUUAGUCACCCAAAUAUUGUGAAAUUGUAUGGUGCUUGCAAGGAACCUCCAACGGUUUGUCUAGUCAUGGAGUAUGCGGAGGGUGGAUCCUUGUACAAUGUUCUGCAUGGAGCCGGUCCUCAGCCCACCUACACAGCCGCCCACGCAAUGAGCUGGGCCCUGCAGUGUUCUAAAGGAGUGGAAUACCUGCACGGAAUGAAACCUAAAGCUCUUAUACACAGAGAUCUAAAACCUCCCAAUCUGCUGUUGAUUAUGGGAGGGACUGUCCUAAAGAUCUGUGACUUUGGCACGGCCUGUGAUAUCCAGACAUCCUGACCCAGGGCAGCAAUGGGAGUGGCAGCAGCUCGGGCUCUCACAAAGGGCGAUCUCACCGCCGUGGAGGCUCAGACGAAGUGACCCAGAUCCGGCUCGGGCUGUCCAGCUCCCCCGUCUUUGUCAAUGUAAACCCUUCCCAUCAGCCCUUUGUCACCUCCCCUAGCAACAUUCCGCACGUCAACACUUUCCCCGGAUCGCUUCACUCCCCCAGCCACGAAAACACAAUCCCUCAGCGGUCUAUCUCGCACACUCCGCCAGAGGCCGAGCGAGUCACGAACAUCGGGCCGAGACAUCAGUCAUGGACGGCUGAGAUGGGGAUCCUUCCCCUGUUGCCCACCAAUGGCCAGCAGCCAUCCAAUUCUACAGCAAACGACUUUCAGCAUAGUACAGGAACUGGUCUGUCUAAUACAGAUGCCUUUGCAAUGAGUCUGGUUCUACAGUCUCUGGAUCACCAGCUUCAGCCACUAGCUCCCUGUCCCACCAGUGUGGAAUCUAUGGAGAUUUUCCAACAACACUGCAAGUUGGCGGAAGAAUACCUUAAAGUUCAGACCGAGCUUUCGCUACUAGUGCAGAGAAAGAAUGACUUGAUAAAAGAGUUUGAACAAGAUGAACACAAUCAGAUGUGUAGUACUCGUCUGGCGGAGGAGUUCAAACAACUGAGGGAGGAAAACGAGAGUCUCACCUUGCUUCACAAAAAUCUGAACCAGCAGGUGGAUCAAAUUAGACACGAGCAACAGAAAAGACGCUGACACAACUGUAAUUUGAAAAAAGGUGUUCUUUGAUCUCACGUCAUGUUUGAUGACGUCAUAUAUGUUGCCAACGACUACGUUACUCGAAAACUGUGAAUGGGAAAUGUUACAGCUUUUAUAAUAUUUAAGAAAACUACAAUAGUUUAGCCUUAUGUUUAUUUGAUAAACAAAUGUUUUAAAUAUUGUGAAGUGAGAAAUGUUGGUUUUUAAAGCUCUUUGAAAAAUUUUAUUACUUAAGCUUGUUCUUAGUGUUUUAGAAAACUACAAGUCUUUGAAGACAAUCUUGCUUUUUUCUAGCUUACUGAAAUAUUAUUGUACCUUUAUAUUGUAUAAAUCUAUGCACAAAUAAGGGCAAAUGUGUGGCCAGUGUUACUGUUAAAAUGGAAUAAAUUUAUUGUUUUUCAAGGUACAUUCAAAGGUUGUAAGUUUUGAGGGGAAAACUAUUUUUGUAGCUGUUACAGUUUAAAACGCCAUUUUUAAUUUUUUAAUCUUGUUAACAAGCGAAGAGUUGAUUGUCUGCUUGGAAAGACAAUAAAAGCUGUAUGACCAUGUGCAAUGUAAACAAUAUUUCAUAGCCUUAUAAAAUAAAAUUUUU
rnacentral:misc_RNA from 1 species